GAUGAAGAACGUAGCGAAAUGCGAUAAGUAAUGUGAAUUGCAGAAUCCAGUGAAUCAUCGAAUCUUUGAACGCACAUUGCGCCCGCCAGCAUUCUGGCGGGCAUGCCUGUUCGAGCGUCAUUUCAACCCUCGACCUCCCUUUGGGGAAGUCGGCGUUGGGGACCGGCAGCACACCGCCGGCCCUGAAAUGGAGUGGCGGCCCGUCCGCGGCGACCUCUGCGUAGUAAUCCAACUCGCACCGGAACCCCGACGCGGCCACGCCGUAAAACACCCAACUUCUGAACGUUGACCUCGAAUCAGGUAGGAAGACCCGCUGAACUUAAGCAUAUCAAUAAGCGGAGGA
rnacentral:misc_RNA from 1 species